CUUUUCCGAAUGGCCCGUAGGCGGGGGCUCUUGCAGUGGGGCCUCCGGGGGUUCUGCCCAGAGAAUGUGAUUCGGGCCGCUGGGUGGGGGGAAGGAGUUUCCCCCUUCACGGUCUCCGGAGACUCCGGAACGUCUUAGCUUCCCGGAUUCUCCCGCUGCACCUGCUCUGGGUGGCCAGGCAACCGGUCGCAUUCCGCCCUCCCCGGCGACCCCAAUCCCAAAGCCAUGUGUAUUGCGCGUGUGUCCGCUACAGGAAUGUGCGUUUCAUCCCUAAUGUCUUGUGUGCCUGGUGAGUGCGAGUGGUGGCAACGUGGCACGUGCAAGUGAGCAUUCGUCCACACAGGGGACCGAUCCGCGUGGGACAGCUCACACGUGUCUGAAACUACCCCACCAGGAUCCCCUGGCUCUCUCUCCGCCUCUGGGAGACCGAAUUCAGGUGCACACUCUUCAAUUCUCGCCUACCCACCCCAAACCCAUGUAAUUAUAAAAAUAAGGAAUAUAAUCUUUUUAAAAAGUCACCCUGAAAAUGAUGUUUCGCUGACUUCUCCGCGCACACUUCCACUAACAAGGUCAGGACAAGAGUUUCCAGCAUGUUCUCUGUCUGGGCCUCGUGUUGUCAUCUUUCCCCGUAGGGACUGUGUGUACGGUGCGUCUCCGUCCUGAAGCCCUCCGUCCGGAAGCCCUCCGUCCUGUAGCACAGCACAGGUUCUUUCAGGGCUCUCCUACAGCUGGCCCUGUUGCUUAGCAGCUGAUCAUAGACUUGUACUGGCACCAGAGACCUGAGAAGGAAUAAAUGUGCCUGAGUACAUAGGAAGUGCAGAGCAAGCGGAUUCCAAAACUGUAGAAACGACAGAGGGGCUGGGUGUCUGGACAGCCACUCAAGGUUUCUCUGCAUUGUUGAAGCUUCAUCUUUGGCCCUCUGGCCCAGAAUCUGACAGGCUGUUCUGUGAAGUGGGAAUCAUGAAGGGCUUGCCUACCUUGUCCUGGUAUAACUUGGCAGUCAACUUCUUCCGUGGCCUGCUUGUCCACAGCUUGGAACGCAUGCUGUCUGCAGUUGAGGCAAAGGCAGUCUCUUGCCCGGUGUCAGCCUGAAGCAAAUUCGGUGUGGAGGGUCCUCAGUGCUCAUCGUCUUUUUUGAAAUGGAAUGGAGGCUGAUGUGUCUCAUUGUCAAAGAGCGAACAAACAAACAAAACACAUUUUUAUCAAUAAAACAUUUUUAAAUGCC
rnacentral:lncRNA from 1 species